AGAGCGAACGCUGGCGGCAGGCCUAACACAUGCAAGUCGAACGGACCCUUCGGGGUUAGUGGCGGACGGGUGAGUAACACGUGGGAACGUGCCUUUUGGUUCGGAAUAGCUCCUGGAAACGGGUGGUAAUGCCGAAUGUGCCCUUCGGGGGAAAGAUUUAUCGCCAUUAGAGCGGCCCGCGUCUGAUUAGCUAGUUGGUAAGGUAAUGGCUUACCAAGGCGACGAUCAGUAGCUGGUCUGGAGAGGAUGACCAGCCACA
rnacentral:rRNA from 1 species